rnacentral:rRNA from 1 species
GAUGAACGCUGGCGGCGUGCCUAAUACAUGCAAGUCGAACGAAACUUCUUUAUCACCGAGUGCUUGCACUCACCGAUAAAGAGUUGAGUGGCGAACGGGUGAGUAACACGUGGGCAACCUGCCCCAACGAGGGGGAUAACACUUUGAGACAGGUUCUAAUACCGCAUAACCAUAGUUACCGCAUGGUAACUAUGUAAAAGGUUGCUAUACUACCGCUUUUGGAUGGGCCCGCGGCGCAUUAGCCAGUUGGUAGGGUAAAGGCUUACCAAGGCAAUGAUGCGUAGCCGAAUUGAGAGGUUGAUCGGCCACAUUGGGACUGAGACACGGCCCAGACUCCUACGGGAGGCAGCAGUAGGGAAUCUUCCACAAUGGGCGAAAGCCUGAUGGAGCAACGCCGCGUGGGUGAAGAAGGUCUUCGGAUCGUAAAACCCUGUUGUUAGGGAAGAAAGUGCGUGAGAGUAACUGUUCACGUUUCGACGGUAUCUAACCAGAAAGCCACGGCUAACUACGUG